UUCCGGUUGAUCCCGCCGGAAGUUACUGCUAUCGAGAUUCGACUAAGCCAUGCGAGUUGAAUGUUCUUCGUGAACAUGGCGGACUGCUUHGUAACACGUGGACAACCUACCCUUGGGUCCGGCAUAAUCCUGGGAAACUGGGAAUAAUUCCGGAUAGGUCACCGAUGCUGGAAUGCGCGGUGGCCGAAAGCUCCGGCGCCCGAGGAUGGGUCUGCGGCCUAUCAGGGUUGUAGUGGGUGUAACGUACCUACUAGCCUACGACGGGUACGGGUUGUGAGAGCAAGAGCCCGGAGAUGGAUUCUGAGACACGAAUCCAGGCCCUACGGGGUGCAGCAGGCGCGAAAACUUUACAAUGCGGGAAACCGUGAUAAGGGGAUCUCGAGUGCCAGCAUAUAAUGUUGGCUGUCCAGAUGCCUAAAUAGCAUCUGUUAGCAAGGGCCGGGCAAGAAG
rnacentral:rRNA from 1 species